rnacentral:rRNA from 1 species
GACAGAGGAUGCAAGCGUUAUCCGGAAUGAUUGGGCGUAAAGCGUCUGUAGGUGGCUUUUCAAGUCCGCCGUCAAAUCCCAGGGCUCAACCCUGGACAGGCGGUGGAAACUGCCAAGCUGGAGUACGGUAGGGGCAGAGGGAAUUUCCGGUGGAGCGGUGAAAUGCGUAGAGAUCGGAAAGAACACCCGUGGCGAAGGCGGCUCUCUGGGACGGUACUGACGCUGAGACGCGAAAGCGUGGGGAGCGAACAGG